CAGUUGGACAUGUUUAGAAAUGCCUCUUGGCUAUUUUUGUUGAUUUAUUUUCUUUGUCUGUAUUUGUGCAAUCCAGCUUUGGGCAUGGAAGCAAGCAGCCCUGGUCUCCGGUCCCUCUCCCUGGAUGAUUUAAACUCAGAAGACAUAGUCCUUCUCCUAUGGGAAAGGCUCCAUAUGGAAUCCCAUGGAGUGAGAGCUCAGCCCAGUAGAAAUUAUUGUAUCUUGGAGACUUAUCCUCAGUUCUCUUUGUGGAUGCUUCUGUGUGCAAAGCUGGCCCUACUGGUAUGCAAGCGCAUCCUGCCUCUCUGGGACAUGUGCCUGCACAGGACCUUAUAAAACCUAUUUGGGGCGUAAUGAGAA
rnacentral:lncRNA from 1 species